UUAGAGUUUGAUCCUGGCUCAGGAUGAACGCUAGCGGCAGGCUUAACACAUGCAAGUCGAGGGGCAACGCGAGUAGCAAUACUUGGCGGCGACCGGCGCAAGGGUGCGUAACACGUGAGUAACAUACCUGUAUCAGGGGAAUAAGCCAUGGAAACGUGGUCUAAAACCGCAUAAUAUGAACUAUAGGCAUCUAUAGAUUAUUAAAAUUACGAUGGAAACAGAUUGGCUCGCGGAACAUUAGCUAGUUGGUAAGGUAACGGCUUACCAAGGCGACGAUGUUUAGGGGUUCUGAGAGGAAGGUCCCCCACACUGGAACUGAGACACGGUCCAGACUCCUACGGGAGGCAGCAGUGAGGAAUAUUGGACAAUGGAUGGAAAUCUGAUCCAGCCAUGCCGCGUGAAGGAUAAGGUCCUAUGGAUUUUCAACUUCUUUUGUAUGGGAGCAAUAAGGUCUACGCGUAGACUGAUGAGAGUACCAUACGAAUAAGCAUCGGCUAACUCCGUGCCAGCAGCCGCGGUAAUACGGAGGAUGCAAGCGUUAUCCGGAUUUAUUGGGCGUAAAGGGUACGUAGGCGGUUAUGUGGGUCCGUAUUAAAAGGCAUUGGCUCAACCAAUGUUCGGUAUAGAAACUGCAUAACUUGAGUAGAUGAGGGGUAAGUGGAAUUCCUAGUGUAGCGGAGAAAUGCUUAGAUAUUAGGAGGAAUACCAGUGGCGAAGGCGACUUACUGGAAUCUAACUGACGCUGAGGUACGAAAGCGUGGGGAGCAAACAGGAUUAGAUACCCUGGUAGUCCACGCUGUAAACGAUGAGUGCUAGGUGUCGGGAGUCAAACCUCGGCGCCGCCGCUAACGCAUUAAGCACUCCGCCUGGGGAGUACGUACGCAAGUAUGAAACUCAAAGGAAUUGACGGGGACCCGCACAAGCAGCGGAGCAUGUGGUUUAAUUCGAAGCGACGCGAAGAACCUUACCAGGGCUUGACAUAUAUAGGAAUAUGCUAGAGAUAGCAUAGUCCCUUCGGGGACUUAUAUACAGGUGGUGCAUGGUUGUCGUCAGCUCGUGUCGUGAGAUGUUGGGUUAAGUCCCGUAACGAGCGCAACCCCUAUCUUUAGUUACCAUCAGGUCAUGCUGGGGACUCUAGAGAGACUGCCGGUGAUAAACCGGAGGAAGGUGGGGAUGACGUCAAAUCAUCAUGCCCUUUAUGUCCUGGGCUGCACACGUGCUACAAUGGUCUGAACAAAGCGCAGCAAGCUCGCGAGAGUUAGCGAAUCGCAUAAAACAGAUCUCAGUUCGGAUUGUAGGCUGCAACUCGCCUACAUGAAGUCGGAGUUGCUAGUAAUCGUGAAUCAGAAUGUCACGGUGAAUGCGUUCCCGGGUCUUGUACACACCGCCCGUCAAG
rnacentral:rRNA from 1 species